CCACUUGGGGAUAACCUUGCGAAAGUAAGACUAAUACCCAAUGACGUCUCUAGAAGACAUCUGAAAGAGAUUAAAGAUUUAUCGGUGAUGGAUGGGGAUGCGUCUGAUUAGCUUGUUGGCGGGGUAACGGCCCACCAAGGCGACGAUCAGUAGGGGUUCUGAGAGGAAGGUCCCCCACAUUGGAACUGAGACACGGUCCAAACUCCUACGGGAGGCAGCAGUGAGGAAUAUUGGUCAAUGGGCGAGAGCCUGAACCAGCCAAGUAGCGUGCAGGAUGACGGCCCUAUGGGUUGUAAACUGCUUUUAUAAGGGAAUAAAGUGAGUCUCGUGAGGCUUUUUGCAUGUACCUUAUGAAUAAGGACCGGCUAAUUCCGUGCCAGCAGCCGCGGUAAUACGGAAGGUCCGGGCGUUAUCCGGAUUUAUUGGGUUUAAAGGGAGCGUAGGCCGGAGAUUAAGCGUGUUGUGAAAUGUAGACGCUCAACGUCUGCACUGCAGCGCGAACUGGUUUCCUUGAGUACGCACAAAGUGGGCGGAAUUCGUGGUGUAGCGGUGAAAUGCUUAGAUAUCACGAAGAACUCCGAUUGCGAAGGCAGCUCACUGGAGCGCAACUGACGCUGAAGCUCGAAAGUGCGGGUAUCGAACAGGAUUAGAUACCCUGGUAGUCCGCACGGUAAACGAUGGAUGCCCGCUGUUGGUCUGAAUAGGUCAGCGGCCAAGCGAAAGCAUUAAGCAUCCCACCUGGGGAGUACGCCGGCAACGGUGCAACUCAAAUGAAUUGACGGAAGGGCGAA
rnacentral:rRNA from 1 species